GACGAACGCUGGCGGCGUGCCUAAUACAUGCAAGUAGAACGCACAGUUUAUACCGUAGCUUGCUACACCAUAGACUGUGAGUUGCGAACGGGUGAGUAACGCGUAGGUAACCUGCCGGGUAGCGGGGGAUAACUAUUGGAAACGAUAGCUAAUACCGCAUAAUAUUAAUUAUUGCAUGAUAAUUAAUUGAAAGGUGCAAUUGCACCACUACCAGAUGGACCUGCGUUGUAUUAGCUAGUAGGUGAGGUAACGGCUCACCUAGGCGACGAUACAUAGCCGACCUGAGAGGGUGAUCGGCCACACUGGGACUGAGACACGGCCCAGACUCCUACGGGAGGCAGCAGUAGGGAAUCUUCGGCAAUGGACGAAAGUCUGACCGAGCAACGCCGCGUGAGUGAAGAAGGUUUUCGGAUCGUAAAGCUCUGUUGUAAGAGAAGAACGGGUGUGAGAGUGGAAAGUUCACACUGUGACGGUAUCUUACCAGAAAGGGACGGCUAACUACGUG
rnacentral:rRNA from 1 species